AUAUUUUAAGAAAAUAGAAAAAUAGACAAGCAUUUAGGAAUAAAGAAUUCUGGUGAGGAGUAUUUGAGCAUCCGAUCCUUUUCAUAUCGUGCAAGCAGACUCAGAAAAGAAGAUCAAGCCAAUUGAUAUCGACUUGCAGUUAACAGUCCAAGAAGACAACAUCAUAUCACAUCUUAUCUAUAGAUAAUAAGCGGAUCAUUAGGCAAGGUUCUGCCAGUGAAUAUAAGCUUUCAUUGCAAGGAGAAUAAUGGGUGCUGUUGGGCAAUCUCCGGCCACGCACAAAGCUACUGAAUAUAUGCAGAGCUCGUGAGGGCGCAUAGGGCACCAUAUGAGCCGCUCCUCUCACCGUUGCAAACGUCAAUAUCUUUCCAUACUCGGUGACCCAACCACCAACCUAGUCACAUCACAACCCAAAAAUCCACAAGUUUGCAAUUGGCAAGAGGGAAAAUUGGCUUCUGUUGAUUUUAGCUACAACGGAGAAGAGAACUUACCUGGUUUUUGUGGAACCAAGGUCCAUAGGGAAGUGUGGUACUGAAGUUAAGAUCAUGAGCAAGUUCUCGUACGAGAGUUCUAGAACCAAGAAGUGGAACUACAGAAUCUUGAUCUCCACUGCAAUGUCGACAAGCUGGGUGUUUAGCUUGCAAAAUACAUUAGUAUAACUCAUAAAAUAAAGGGAUCUUUAAUAGAAUUAUUACCUUGAGAUCCAAACAUAAGUUUUGUUCUGUAUAAUUCUCUUAAGAAUCGGAAGCAUGUUAAUGUUCCCGUC